rnacentral:rRNA from 1 species
CCUACGGGAGGCAGCAGUGAGGAAUAUUGGUCAAUGGUCGGGAGUCUGAACCAGCCAAGCCGCGUGAGGGAUGAAGGUACAGUGUAUCGUAAACCUCUUUUGUCAGGGAACAAAGGCGGGGACGUGUCCCCGGUUGAGUGUACCUGAUGAAAAAGCAUCGGCUAACUCCGUGCCAGCAGCCGCGGUAAUACGGAGGAUGCGAGCGUUAUCCGGAUUUAUUGGGUUUAAAGGGUGCGCAGGGGGUUUGUUAAGUCAGCGGUCAAAGCCUGGGGCUCAACCCCGGCCUGCCGUUGAAUAUGGCAGUCUCGAGGUGGAGAGAAGUAAGUGGAAUGCGCGGUGUAGGGGUGAAAUGCAU